rnacentral:rRNA from 1 species
CCUCCGGGUGGCAGCAGUGGGGAAUAUUGCACACUGGGGGAAACCCUGAUGCAGCGACGCCGCGUGAGGGCCGGAGUAUUUCGGUACGUAAACUUCUAUCCGCAGGGAAGAACAUGACGGUACCUGACCAAGAAGCCCCGGCUAACUACGUGCCAGCAGCCGCGGGAAUACGUAGGGGGCAAGCGUUAUCCGGCUUUACUGGGUGUAAAGGGAGCGUAGACUGCCAUGAAAGUCUGAUGUGAAAACCCGGGUCUGAACCCCGGGACUGGAUUGGAAACUGUGCGGCUGGAGUGUCGGAGAGGCAAGUGGAAUUCCUAGUGGAGCGGUGAAAUGCGUAGAUAUUAGGAGGAACAACAGUGGCGAAGGCGGCUUGCUGGACGACGACUGACGUUGAGGCUCGAAAGCGUGGGGAGCAAACAGGAUUAGAGACCCGAGUAGUC